rnacentral:rRNA from 1 species
UAGGGAAUAUUGCACAAUGGGGGAAACCCUGAUGCAGCGACGCCGCGUGAGUGAUGAAGGCCUUCGGGUCGUAAAGCUCUGUCGUAUGGGAAUAACAUAAUGAAUGUACCAUGCAAGAAAGGAUCGGCUAACUUCGUGCCAGCAGCCGCGGUAAGACGAGGGAUCCUAGCGUUGUUCGGAAUCAUUGGGCGUAAAGCGGGUGUAGGUGGGCUUCUAAGUCAGGUGUGAAAUCCCAGGGCUCAACCCUGGAAGUGCACUUGAUACUGGAAGUCUUGAGUGUGGUAGAGGCUAUUAGAAUUCUUGGUGUAGUGGUGAAAUACGUAGAUAUCAAGAGGAAUACCGGAGGCGAAGGCGGAUAGCUGGGCCAACACUGACACUGAGACCCGAAAGCGUGGGGAUCAAACA